rnacentral:lncRNA from 1 species
UCUCGGAGUAUCUUACAAGAUCAAAAGGCUUAAGCAACAACUACUUGUGCUUGAAAAAAUGGCCGGAACACAAGCAAUGAAACAGCCAACAGCUAUAGAUGAUAGUCCCCGGACACCUGAAGGAUGGAACGACGAUGGUAAGAUGGAUCAGGCCAAGCCUCAGCAGAAGGGUUUCCAUCAGCUGAUGUCUUUCCUAAAUAAACAAGUUAAGAGAUAUCAGUCACUCGAAGAAAAGAUUGAUGAUCUGUGCAGGAGAAUGGUAGGAACCUUCUAGAUUAUGACUCUACUACUAAUUGAAUUUUCUUCAUGAUAAAGUUCAAUUGAUAGUUAUUUUGCUUACCUUUCGCUUUUCUUAAUGUGCAUUACUGCAGCAGGAAAGUUAUCGCAGUGGAAUCCGAAGGGAUUUGCGAAAUGGAAGGCCCAAGGAACAGACUGAAACACUAGAGGGGUUUCUCGAAGAAUCAUUUCAGUUGCAAAGAUAUA